AUGUUGACUUCAUUACGAGUUUCUGACUAUCUACUUGUUCAUGUUUAUACGGAUGAGGUGCUGUCAGGGGUGGCUGAGACCAUCAAGAACUUUGUCCUGAUCUACCAUGUUGACAUCACCAAGGUUCCUGACUUCAACACCAUGUACGAGCUGUACGACCCGUCAACGGUGAUGUUCUUCUUCCACAACAAGCACAUCAUGAUUGAUCUUGGGACAAGAAACAACAACAAGAUCAACUGGGCAAUGAAAGACAAGGAAGAGUUUGUUGACAUCAUGGAGACUGUCUAUAGAGGAGCUCGUAAGGCCAUCGUCUGGUGA
rnacentral:rRNA from 1 species